rnacentral:rRNA from 1 species
GUAGGUGGCAAGCGUUGUCCGGAAUUAUUGGGCGUAAAGCGCGCGCAGGCGGUUCUUUAAGUCUGAUGUGAAAGCCCGCGGCUCAACCGUGGAGGGUCAUUGGAAACUGGAGAACUUGAGUACAGAAGAGGAAAGCGGAAUUCCACGUGUAGCGGUGAAAUGCGUAGAGAUGUGGAGGAACACCAGUGGCGAAGGCGGCUUUCUGGUCUGUAACUGACGCUGAGGCGCGAAAGCGUGGGGAGCAAACAGGGAUUAGAUACCCUGGUAGUCCACGCCGUAAACGAUGAGUGCUAAGUGUUAGGGGGUUUCCGCCCCCUUAGUGCUGCAGCUAACGCAUUAAGCACUCCGCCUGGGGAGUACGGCCGCAAGGCUG